rnacentral:rRNA from 1 species
CACGUAGGGUGCGAGCGUUGUUCGGAAUUACUGGGCGUAAAGCGUGCGCAGGCGGUUCGUUAAGUUCGUUGUGAAAGCCCCGGGCUCAACCUGGGAACUGCAAUGGAAACUGGCGGGCUUGAGUGUGGCAGAGGGGGGUGGAAUUCCGCGUGUAGCAGUGAAAUGCGUAGAGAUGCGGAGGAACACCGAUGGCGAAGGCAGCCCCCUGGGCCAACACUGACGCUCAGGCACGAAAGCGUGGGGAGCAAACAGG